ACAAUGGUAGUUCAGUGGUAGAAUUCUCGCCUUCCAUGCGGGAGGCCCAGGUUCAAUUCCUGGCCAAUGCA